rnacentral:tRNA from 1 species
CCAUCAUUGGCGCAAUUGGUAGACGCGGUUGAUUCAAAACCAACAUGUUGAAGGUUCGACUCCUUCAUGAUGGACCA